rnacentral:lncRNA from 1 species
GUCCAGCCACUUCCUUCCGCCCCAGCGAUUGAGACGUCGUUCCGCGCCGGCAGAACCGGGCUGCGCAGUCGCAGCUCGCAACCGCGGCCAGACCUAGCCCCGGAACUAACCUUCAAAGGUUUGGGGACCCGAUAGGAAGUGUCUCGAGAAGGGCUGCUUCCGCUGGUGCGAUGCGGAGUUGCCAGGCCGCCAUCUUGUCUUCGGCAGCUCUGAGGUAUCGGGAAAGAACAAAGGAGCGCCCCCAAAGAAGCACAACUACCAUCAAAAAAGGACGGAUUUGUUAAGGGAGGAAGGCUCCUAAGUAGAACAAUGGCUUUAAGUGGGCCUUGGGUUUCUGGAGGCGUCCUGCGUCUAGCACCGUUGACGUGGCGCCAUCUCGUGGGACUGUAGGAAGGUUGCACGGGCUUCCUGACUGGCUCUGGGCGCCGUGGUGGAAAGCGGCACGGUUUCAAGUGGCCGAACGCUCCAUUCUCCCUUGCCUAUAUGAGCUCUUGAUACGAAGUUUUCCACUGCCUUCGCUCUUUACUAGCGGUUUAUUUUGUAUUUUCAGCAGGGUUUGGAUUGAGUGAAUUUCCACGUAAAAUGUGGAGGAAUUCUUAGGACUUUGGGUUGCAGCAGCCCGGAUUAGUAAACCCCCAGCGUAAAACCGUUUUUCAAAUUAUCUUAAUUAUGACAGCAUAGAGACGUCCAUAACACCCAGUAAACCGAGACAGAAAACAAACAGUACCCAUUGGGAGGUAGAGCAAUCUGCUGUCAGCUUACAGAUGCUUAGGGGAGUUACUAGCAUCAGCAAGUCAAGGAAAAUGCUGCUACACUACACUUUAUAUUAAUGUAACAUUAAGGCAUGCAACCUGUACGAACUUCUCACACAAACUUGCACAAAAUGACAAGUUAGACAGGGAUGUAUGUCGUGUAUAGUUGCAACUUAAAUAAAAGUCUCAAACCACCAGUCCCAUGGCCUAUAGUGAUAAAAAUAAAAACAAUCCUUUUCUGGAGUGGACAAUGACAGAAAGGUGCCACCCUUUGAAGUUUAUGAAAAGGUGAAAUAAAAAGGAGGAGGACAUGGCUACUUCUAAAGUAUGGAGAAGAUUUUUUUUAUUAUUUUUAAUUUUUUUUUGUAGCUAUAAGGAAGACAGGCAGAGGGAAGGGUCCAGGUCGAACAUGACUGUUAGACUAAAUACAACAUAAGAGCAAGAGGGGCCUUGAACCUGUAAGAGUCCAUGAAUGGUCUAAGAAUCAUACCCUAGGCUCAAACAGUAUGUAAACGCACAGAGUGUUUUAUUCUGCAGAAGUCCAGCGGUGCUGGAGUCUCCCAUUACCAGAAAUAAAGAGUCAACCAAGUGAGCUUGAAGGCCUGAUUUAAUGCAUGUUAGGAGAUUCCAUUUAUUCCCUAGGGGAUGACCUCUAACCCCAUUUCUAUCGACAUUCCAUUACUCGGGCAUGGAGACUAAAAACUGUUGCUGAAGAAGUCUGGAAACUGGUGCCGACCCAUUGUCCUUGCCUCAGGCCAGGUGGUGAGGCAGCUUCUGCGGACUGGCCUUACCCAGUCAAACGGUCAAUUUAAAGCCUGUCAUGGAGUCAGCCUAACCUUCUCAGACCAAGAGAGGCUGACUCAAACAAGAGACCUAAGUAGCAAAAAUGGUUGAGUUAUAUAGGGACUGGUUUUGGCACAAGACACCCCAAGUCCAAAUUCUCAACACAAAGAUUUAUUUCCUCUAGUGGGACAAGCAACAGAUAGAGGCCUAGGAGAAGCAGAAAGGAGCAAGGUAGAGAGUGAAGGGCUAUUUGUCCUAGAGGGACAAAGGACUGUCUCUGAUUAAGAGAGGAGUCCAGGUUGGGAGAGAACAAAGGAGCAUCCCCAAAGAAGCACAAUU